GAUGAACGCUGGCGGCGUGCUUAACACAUGCAAGUCGAACGGAAAGGCCCAAGCUUGCUUGGGUACUCGAGUGGCGAACGGGUGAGUAACACGUGGGUGAUCUGCCCUGCACUUCGGGAUAAGCCUGGGAAACUGGGUCUAAUACCGGAUAGGACGAUGGUUUGGAUGCCAUUGUGGAAAGUUUUUUCGGUGUGGGAUGAGCUCGCGGCCUAUCAGCUUGUUGGUGGGGUAAUGGCCUACCAAGGCGUCGACGGGUAGCCGGCCUGAGAGGGUGUACGGCCGCAUUGGGACUGAGAGACGGCCCAGAGUCCUACGUGAGGCAGCAGUGGGGAAUAUUGGACAAUGGGCGCAAGCCUGAUGCAGCGACGCCGCGUGGGGGAUGACGGCCUUCGGGUUGUAAACUCCUUUCGCUAGGGACGAAGCGUUUUUGUGACGGUACCUGGAGAAGAAGCACCGGCUAACUACGUG
rnacentral:rRNA from 1 species